CCUACGGGAGACAGCAGUGAGGAAUAUUGGUCAAUGGGCGUAAGCCUGAACCAGCCAAGUCGCGUGAGGGAUGAAGGUUCUAUGGAUCGUAAACCUCUUUUAUAAGGGAAUAAAGUGUGGGACGUGUCCUGUUUUGUAUGUACCUUAUGAAUAAGGAUCAGCUAACUCCGUGCCAGCAGCCGCGGUAAGACGGAGGAUCCGAGCGUUAUCCGGAUUUAUUGGGUUUAAAGGGUGCGUAGGCGGCCUUUUAAGUCAGCGGUGAAAGUCUGUGGCUCAACCAUAGAAUUGCCGUUGAAACUGGGAGGCUUGAGUAUGUUUGAGGCAGGCGGAAUGCGUGGUGUAGCGGUGAAAUGCUUAGAGAUCACGCAGAACCCCGAUUGCGAAGGCAGCCUGCCAAGCCAUGACUGACGCUGAUGCACGAAAGCGUGGGGAUCAAACAGGAUUAGAUACCCGAGUAGUC
rnacentral:rRNA from 1 species